GAGGGGAUCUGUUUCAUCGUGGACGCCGACAAAAUCGUGGCGGAUUUCGCUUACGGUGUAUGCUCGAACAUGGUGGCAGCCAUAAAAGCAGGCUUCAAAAAAAUGAAAGAAACCCGGAGAAGGUGCCUGGAGAUCACAAGGUCACCGUAGAGGAAGAAGCAGAGCGCGAAACUGAACCGUCAAUGUCAUAGAUAGAAUGCACUACUUGUCCUUGUGCUCAACUACAUAUCAUAUCCGAGUAAAAAAAGAAUGCCGCAUCACUCGACACGCAGUGCCAAGAUUUCUGUUAAUAAAGUGUUAAACUGUG
rnacentral:lncRNA from 1 species